rnacentral:rRNA from 1 species
AUUGAACGCUGGCGGCAUGCCUUACACAUGCAAGUCGAGCGCGAAAGGGGGGCAACCCCGAGUAGAGCGGCGGACGGGUGAGUAACGCAUCGGAACGUGCCCAGUAGUGGGGGACGAACCUCGAGAAAUCGAGGCUAAUACCGCAUACGACCCACGGGUGAAAGCGGGGACCGCAAGGCCUCGCGCUAUUGGAGCGGCCGAUGUCCGAUUAGCUAGUUGGCGGGGUAAGAGCCCACCAAGGCGACGAUCGGUAGCUGGUCUGAGAGGACGACCAGCCACACUGGGACUGAGACA